rnacentral:rRNA from 1 species
UCAAGCAAGAAGAGGUUUGCGGCGGAUGCCUGGGAGCUGUCCGGCGAAGAAGGCCGCGGUAAGCUGCGAAAAGCUGCGGGGAGGAGCACACAUCCUGAGAUCCGCAGAUAGCCGAAUGGGGUAACCCGUAUGCCGCAAGGCAUACACCGCGCGCGGGAAGAAGAUACUGCGGCGGAGCGAUACUGCGUGAAGUGAACCAUCUAAGUAACGCGGGAAGAGAAAUCAAAAGAGAUUGCGCAAGUAGCGGCGAGCGAACGCGCAGGAGCCUAAACCCUUAUGUAGGGUGUUGCAGGGCCGCACGGGGAUGACCCGUGGAGUUGGUGAGAAAACCGAUAUGUAGCGGAAGCGUCUGGAAAGGCGCGCGAGACAGCGUGAAAGCCGCGUAUGCGAAAGAUAUCGGACUCCAUGGUGCGGUACCUAAGUAGGGCGGGGCACGAGAAACCCUGUUUGAAUCCGGGUCGACCACGAUCCAAGGCUAAAUACGAGACAGCUACCGACAGCGAAGAGUACCGUGAGGGAACGGCGAAAAGAACCCCGGUGAGGGGAGUGAAAGAGAACCUGAAACCGCAAACCGACAAGAUGUCACGGCGCGCGAGCGUUGUGGCGUGUCUUUUGUAGAAUAAACCUGCGAGUUGCGAUGCGCGGCGAGGCUAAGGGUUGGGAGAUCCGGAGCCGGAGCGAAAGCGAGUGUGAAAAGUGCGAAAAGUCGCGUGUCGCAGACCCGAAGCCAAGGUGAUCUAAUUAUGGGCAGGCUGAAGGCAGGGUGAAACCUGUUGGAGGGCCGAACAGUAAUCUGUUAAAAAAGGUAGUGAUGACCUGUGAUUAGGAGUGAAAGGCUAAACAAACCUGGAAAUAGCUGGCUCUCCCCGAAAUGCCUUUAGGGACAGCCUCAUGCAAAGCGGAAGGAGGUAAAGCACCGGAUGGGAUAGGGGGCGUCACAGUCUACCGACACCAAUCGAACUCAGAAUGCCAUCCGCCAACGCAUGGGAGUGAGACUGUGUGCUCCAAGGUUCAUAGUCGAGAGGGAAACAGCCCGGACCGACGGCAAAGGUCCCGAAAUAACGCUCAGUGUGAAAUGAGGUGCGUCUGCACAGACAGCCAGGAGGUUGGCUCAGAAGCAGCCAUUCCUUAAAAGAGUGCGUAACAGCUCACUGGUCGAGCAGGCGUGCGCAGACAAUGUAACGGGGCUAAGCGUUAUACCGAAGCCGCGGGUCCGCAUUGUAAGAUGCGGGCGGUAGGGGAGCAUUGCGCUAACCGAAGAAGGCGUACCCGUGAGGGGCGCUGGAGGAAGCGGAAGAGAGAAUGCAGGCACAAGUAACGAAAAGACGGGUGAGAUUCCCGUCCGCCGAAAGCCUGAGGAUUCCCGGGUAAAGGCAAUCUGCCCGGGGUAAGUCGGCCCCUAAGGCGAGGACGAAAGUCGUAGUCGAUGGGAAAUCGGUUCAAAAUCCGAUACCCGGCUCAGUUUUGAAGGCAGGACGCAUGAGGUGAAAUCCGGCAGAAGAACGGUAGAUUCUGUCCAAGCGGUAAGGUGUUGAGAGGGCGGUUAAAAGAGCCCUUGAGCUGAGCCGUUACGGGGAGCGGAGCGCAGGCGAAGCGAAGCGGAUGUAAUCAAGGUGCCGGGAAAUACUGUCUAAAGCUAGGCUGAGUCGGACCGUACCGGAAACGGACACACGCAGGCAGGAUGAGUAAUCUAAGGCGCACGAGCGACCCCGCGUUAAGGAACUCGGCAAAAAGCACACGUAACUUCGGAAGAAGUGUGGCUCACGCUGAUAAGGAUGUGAGCGGCAGAAAGCAGGCCCAGGCGACUGUUUACCAAAAACACAGCCAUCUGCGAACCGGCAACGGGACGUAUAGGUGGUGACACCUGCCCGGUACCGGAAGGUUAAGGGGAGGGGUUAGCAGGAAUGCGAAGCUCCGAACCGAAGCCCCGGCAAACGGCGGCCGUAACUAUAACGGUCCUAAGGUAGCGAAAUUCCUUGUCGGGUA